CUCAUUUUGUCUGUCGCGUGCCGAUUGCACUAUGGUCCCAAUGACCAAUUUUCUUGGCCAAAAGGUAAUUUUUAAAAGUUAAAACCAAGACGUGGAUUUUGGCGCUCUGUAUUAGAAAAAGAGUGACCAUCAAAGUUGCGUACCAGAAAUUUGCAUAGAUGGCUUCACUUUCGAAAAAUCUGCUGUGAAACCUAGCGGUCAUUAUUGCACAGAAUGUGCAGGGAAAAAGUAC
rnacentral:lncRNA from 1 species